UACGUAGGGUGCAAGCGUUGUCCGGAAUUAUUGGGCGUAAAGAGCUCGUCGGCGGUUUGUCGCGUCGACUGUGAAAACCCGGGGCUCAACCCCGGGCCUGCAUUCGAUACGGGCAGACUAGAGUUCGGUAGGGGAGUCUGGAAUUCCUGGUGUAGCGGUGAAAUGCGCAGAUAUCAGGAGGAACACCGGUGGCGAAGGCGGGACUCUGGGCCGAUACUGACGCUGAGGAGCGAAAGCGUGGGGAGCAAACAGG
rnacentral:rRNA from 1 species